GAGGGUAUAGCUCAGUGGUAGAGCACUUGCUUAGCAUGCAUGAGGUCCCGGGUUUAAUCCCCAGUACCUCCA
rnacentral:tRNA from 1 species